rnacentral:rRNA from 1 species
GACGAACGCUGGCGGCGUGCUUAACACAUGCAAGUCGAACGGAAAGGCCCUGCUUUUGUGUGUUGCUCGAGUGGCGAACGGGUGAGUAACACGUGAGUAACCUGCCCUUGACUUUGUGAUAACUUCACGAGACUGGGGCUCAUACCGGAUAGGAGCUCCUGCUGCAUGGUGUGGGUUGGAAAGUUUCGGCGGUUGUGGAUGGACUCGCGGCUUAUCAGCUUGUUUGUGGGGUAGUGGCUUACCAAGGCUUUGACGGGUAGCCGGCCUGAGAGGGUGACCGGCCACAUUGGGACUGAGAUACGGCCCAGAAUCCUACGGGAGGCAGCAGGGGGGAAUAUUGCAGAAUGGGCGGAAGUCUGAUGCAGAAACGCCGCGUGCGGGAUGACGGCCUUCGGGUUGUAAACAGAUUUCGACUGAGACGAAGCGUGAGUGACGGUAAUGGGUAAAGAAGCACCGGCUAACUACGUG